rnacentral:rRNA from 1 species
CCUACGGGAGGCAGCAGUGAGGAAUAUUGGUCAAUGGGCGUAAGCCUGAACCAGCCAAGUCGCGUGAGGGAUGAAGGUUCUAUGGAUCGUAAACCUCUUUUAUAAGGGAAUAAAGUGCGGGACGUGUCCCUUUUUGUAUGUACCUUAUGAAUAAGGAUCGGCUAACUCCGUGCCAGCAGCCGCGGUAAUACGGAGGAUCCGAGCGUUAUCCGGAUUUAUUGGGGUGAAAGGGUGCGUAGGCGGCCUUUUAAGGCAGCUGUGAAAGUCUGUGGCUCAACCAGAGAAUUGCCGUUGAAACUGGGAGGCUUGAGUAUGUUUGAGGCAGGCGGAAUGCGUGGUGUAGCGGUGAAAUGCUUAGAUAUCACGCAGAACCCCGAUUGCGAAGGCAGCCUGCCAAGCUAUGACUGACGCUGAUGCACGAAAGCGUGGGGAUCAAACAGGAUUAGAUACCCUUGUAGUC